rnacentral:siRNA from 1 species
CAACCGAAGUAGAAUGGUUAUGGU